CAUAGGUUUCUGCUAAGUCGCAAGACGAUGUAUAGGAGCUGACGCCUGCCCGGUGCUGGAAGGUUAAGGGGAUCUGUUAGAGCAAUCGAAGCAGUGAACUUAAGCCCCAGUAAACGGCGGCCGUAACUAUAACGGUCCUAAGGUAGCGAAAUUCCUUGUCGGGUAAGUUCCGACCCGCACGAAAGGCGUAACGAUUUGGGCACUGUCUCAACAACAGACUCGGUGAAAUUGUAAUUCCGGUGAAGAUGCCGGAUACCUGCGACAGGACGGAAAGACCCCAUGGAGCUUUACUGUAGCUUGACAUUGGGUCUUGGUACUACAUGUACAGGAUAGGUGGGAGGCUUUGAAACCAGGACGCCAGUUUUGGCGGAGCCAUCCUUGGGAUACCACCCUUGUAGUACUGGGACUCUAACCAUAGGCCAUGAAUCUGGUCUUGGGACACUGUCAGGUGGGCAGUUUGACUGGGGCGGUCGCCUCCCAAAAGGUAACGGAGGCGCUCAAAGGUUCUCUCAGUACGGUCGGAAAUCGUACGUAGAGUGUAAAGGCAAAAGAGAGCUUGAUUGCAAGACAUACAGGUCGAGCAAGGAUGAAAAUCGGACUUAGUGAUCCGGUGGUUCUGCGUGGAAGGGCCAUCGCUCAACGGAUAAAAGCUACCCUGGGGAUAACAGGCUUAUCUCCCCCAAGAGUCCACAUCGACGGGGAGGUUUGGCACCUCGAUGUCGGCUCAUCACAUCCUGGGGCUGUAGUAGGUCCCAAGGGUUGGGCUGUUCGCCCAUUAAAGUGGUACGCGAGCUGGGUUCAGAACGUCGUGAGACAGUUCGGUCCCUAUCCGUCGCAGGCGUAGGAAAUUUGAGAAGACCUGUCCUUAGUACGAGAGGACCGGGAUGGACG
rnacentral:rRNA from 1 species